CGCCAUUUAGAUGUCUUUAAAAUUUUUAAUAAAAUUUACGACGUCUUAGAAAGACGUCUUUAAGACGUCGAAUGACGCGCAUAACCAAAUCUGCCGUGUGAUACGAUCAAGUCGAUCGACGUGCUUAUCCCAUUCCCGUAUCAAUUUUUUGAACUCUCGCACGUACAUGUGUUGAGACGUUUUGUCCCGGUUUUCUGUGUAACGCAGUCGAGUGUGGAUGCAUUAAUCUAACACAAUUUUUUAACUCUCGCACGUGUAUCACGUGUGUGGACGGGCUGUACUGGAAAUAAAAUCUCCCAGCUAACCUUAGAUAUUCCUAAAAUAUUCGUGGAAAAAUACACGUGGGAUACUGUUUAUUAAGUUUGCAGCAAGAUUCGACCUCUUUCCGUAAGUAAAUUUAUUCAUAUUUUCAUUUAUGUAUAUCCUAUAUAUACCUAUAAAACAUAUAUAAUGCAUCCUACCACGCACAUACACACACGUACACAUAUACAUUGAGUAUUAUUAUUGUUGAUAUGAAUUAUUUACGGGAAGAAGUAAACUUAGAAUAAGAUGCUUCUAACAUCAAUACUAUUAAAUUUCCCGUCAAUUUAAAAGAUAAAAUUUUUUUGGUUAGGUGCUGGGUGCCAGUUGCCUGCUCGAUGACAUUGUGUGGUCAAUGCCGACUCGCGCCUUUGUUUCCAAUCCAGGACGCUUCGCACCUGUAUGAUUGUGACGUGAAAAUCCUGUUUAAGCUCCAUGGUGUGCUCCCGGAUACAUUGACCGGACACCGCAAUAGAUUCUCAAAGCAAUUCCACGAAUCAAAGAGUUUUUACAAUACAGUUAAACAUAUGCGGUAUUCUAAACAUUUGAUAACAAUUCCGUCAUUACCCGAGAAGCCACCUAACUUUUUAAUAUAAACUGAGUUAAUGUUACACCGAUAGUGGUACUUCCGCCGAAGGCAUCUAUUGAUUCGAUAGUGGUACUUCCGCCGAAGGCAUCUAUUGAUUCCGAGACUGCCAUAGAUAAUCUUAUCGAUACAUCUGAUACAGAAUCAUUAACAGGCGAUCAGUUGGAUUCUGUAAAUACACGAAAUGACUAUAUCACCUGAUGCUCUUACACAAAGAGACAGCUUUAUUGAUCGCUCAAUUGUAUCAAGAAAAUGUUCUUCAAAGACGUAAAUAAUUUGUUAAUGGAUCAUCAACAAAUCAUCAACAAAUAGUUGCAGAUAAUGCAAUAUGAAACGCAACAGAUGAUCAAAUCUCAGCCCCGAUAAAGAUAUGGUUGGUCCAUGCAAAAGAACGCGCCGGAAAAGAAAAAA